GGACUACUGGGGUAUCUAAUCCUGUUCGCUCCCCCAGCUUUCGUGCCUGAGCGUCAGGUCUCGCCCAGGGCGCUGCCUACGCCGUCGGUGUUCUUCCGGAUCUCUACGCAUUUCACCGCUCCACCCGGAGUUCCACGCCCCUCUACGAGCCUCAAGCCACGCCGUCUGGACGCCACCCUCCCAGUUAAGCCAGGAGAUUUCACCGUCCACGCGCGCGGCCGCCUGCGCACCCUUUACGCCCAGUAACUCCGGACAACGCUCGUCUCCUACGUAUUACCGCGGCUGCUGGCAC
rnacentral:rRNA from 1 species